rnacentral:rRNA from 1 species
GACGAAUGCUGGCGGCGUGCUUAACACAUGCAAGUCGAACGGUGAACAGGAGCUUGCUCCUGGGAUCAGUGGCGAACGGGUGAGUAACACGUGGGCAACCUGCCCCUCACUCUGGGAUAACUCCGGGAAACCGGGGCUAAUACCGGAUACGACCUGGAGCGACAUCUCUCCAGGUGGAAAGAACUUCGGUGAGGGAUGGGCCCGCGGCCUAUCAGCUAGUUGGUGGGGUAACGGCCGACCAAGGCGACGACGGGUAGCCGGCCUGAGAGGGCGACCGGCCACACUGGGACUGAGACACGGCCCAGACUCCUACGGGAGGCAGCAGUGGGGAAUAUUGCGCAAUGGGCGAAAGCCUGACGCAGCGACGCCGCGUGAGGGACGACGGCCUUCGGGUUGUAAACCUCUUUCAGCAGGGACGAAGCGAAAGUGACGAUACCUGCAGAAGAAGCACCGGCUAACUACGUGCCAGCCGCCGCGGUAAUAC